rnacentral:rRNA from 1 species
AGCGAACGCUGGCGGCAGGCCUAACACAUGCAAGUCGAGCGCCCAGCAAUGGGAGCGGCAGACGGGAUAGUAACACGUGGGAACGUACCUUUCAGUUCGGAACAACCCAGGGAAACUUGGGCUAAUACCGAAUACGCCCGUAAGGGGAAAGAUUUAUCGCUGAAAGAUCGGCCCGCGUCUGAUUAGCUAGUUGGUGGGGUAAUGGCCCACCAAGGCGACGAUCAGUAGCUGGUCUGAGAGGAUAAUCAGCAUCACUGGGACUGAGACACGGCCCAGACUCCUACGGGAGGCAGCAGUGGGGAAUAUUGGACAAUGAGCGCAAGCCUGAUCCAGCCAUGCCGCGUGGAUGAUGAAGGCCCUAGGGUUGUAAAGUCCUUUCGGCGGGGAAGAUAAUGACGGUACCCGCAGAAGAAGCCCCGGGCUAACUCCGUGCCAGCCGCCGCAGUAA